rnacentral:rRNA from 1 species
UGAAUACGAGACGCUAAGGCGUCGAAGUAGUGUAUGUCAUACUUCCAAGAAAAGCUUGCACUGCCAUAAGUAAAAAAUGCCUGUACCAUAACCGACACAGGUGGGUAGGUAGAGUAUACUAAGGGGCGCGAGAUAACUCUCUCUAAGGAACUCGGCAAAAUAACUCCGUAACUUCGGGAGAAGGAGUACCUUAUUCUAUAAGGUUGCAAUAACAAGAUCCAAGCAACUGUUUAUCAAAAACACAGGUCUCCGCUAAGUCGUAAGACGAUGUAUGGGGGCUGACGCCUGCCCAGUGCCAGAAGGUUAAAGAAGUCGGUUAGCAUUAGCGAAGCUGGUAACUGAAGCCCUGGUGAACGGCGGCCGUAACGAUAACGGUCCUAAGGUAGCGAAAUUCCUUGUCGGGUAAGUUCCGACCCGCACGAAAGGCGUAAUGAUUUGGAUACUGUCUCGGAGAGGGGCUCGGUGAAAUAGACUUGUCUGUGAAGAUGCGGACUACCUGCACCAGGACAGAAAGACCCUAUGAAGCUUUACUGUAACUUGAAAUUGAAAUUGGACUUUAUUCGCGCAGUAUAGGUGGGAGGUGUUGAUUAUAAUCUUGCGGGAUUAUUGGAGCCAUCAGUGAGAUACCACUCUUGUAAUGUUAGAUUUCUAACUUUGAAUCAUUAUCUGGUCAAAGGACAGUUUCAGGCGGGCAGUUUGACUGGGGCGGUCGCCUCCCAAACGGUAACGGAGGCGUACAAAGGUUUCCUCUGAACGGGUAGAAAUCGUAUCUAGAGUGUAAAGGCAUAAGGAAGCUUGACUGUGAGACCUACAAGUCGAACAGGGACGAAAGUCGGUCUUAGUGAUCUGACGGUACUGAGUGGAAAGGCCGUCACUCAACGGAUAAAAGUUACUCUAGGAUAACAGGCUGAUCUCCCCCAAGAGUUCACAUCGACGGGGAGGUUUGGCACCUCGAUGUCGGCUCACCGCAUCCUGGGGCGGUAGUACGUCCCAAGGGUUGGGCUGUUCGCCCAUGAAAGCGGUACGCGAGCUGGGUUCAGAACGUCGUGAGACAGUUCGGUCCAUAUCCGGUGUAGGCGUUGGAAUAUUGAGAGGAGCCUUCUUUAGUACGAGAGGACCGAGAAGGACAUACCUCUGGUGUACCAGUUAUCGUGCCAACGGUAAACGCUGGGUAGCUAUGUAUGGAGUGGAUAACCGCUGAAAGCAUCUAAGUGGGAAGCCCACCUCAAGAUGAGUGCUCUCACAGGGUUAACCUGGUAAGGUCACGGGAAGACCACCCGUUAAUAGGCACUAGGUGGAAGUCCAGUAAUGGAUGGAGCCAAGGUGUACUAACAGACCGAGGGCUUGACC